rnacentral:rRNA from 1 species
GAUGAACGCUAGCGACAGGCUUAACACAUGCAAGUCGAGGGGCAGCACAGGUAGCAAUACCGGGUGGCGACCGGCGCACGGGUGAGUAACGCGUAUGCAACUUGCCUAUCAGAGGGGGAUAACCCGGCGAAAGUCGGACUAAUACCGCAUGAAGCAGGGAUCCCGCAUGGGAAUAUUUGCUAAAGAUUCAUCGCUGAUAGAUAGGCAUGCGUUCCAUUAGGCAGUUGGCGGGGUAACGGCCCACCAAACCGACGAUGGAUAGGGGUUCUGAGAGGAAGGUCCCCCACAUUGGUACUGAGACACGGACCAAACUCCUACGGGAGGCAGCAGUGUGGAAUAUUGGUCAAUGGCCGAGAGGCUGAACCAGCCAAGUCGCGUGAGGGAUGAAGGUUCUAUGGAUCGUAAACCUCUUUUAUAAGGGAAUAAAGUGCGGGACGUGUCCCGUUUUGUAUGUACCUUAUGAAUAAGGAUCGGCUAACUCCGUGCCAGCAGCCGCGGUAAUACGGAGGAUCCGAGCGUUAUCCGGAUUUAUUGGGUUUAAAGGGUGCGUAGGCGGCCUUUUAAGUCAGCGGUGAAAGUCUGUGGCUCAACCAUAGAAUUGCCGUUGAAACUGGGGGGCUUGAGUAUGUUUGAGGCAGGCGGAAUGCGUGGUGUAGCGGUGAAAUGCAUAGAUAUCACGCAGAACCCCGAUUGCGAAGGCAGCCUGCCAAGCCAUGACUGACGCUGAUGCACGAAAGCGUGGGGAUCAAACAGGAUUAGAUACCCUGGUAGUCCACGCAGUAAACGAUGAUCACUAGCUGUUUGCGAUACACUGUAAGCGGCACAGCGAAAGCGUUAAGUGAUCCACCUGGGGAGUACGCCGGCAACGGUGAAACUCAAAGGAAUUGACGGGGGCCCGCACAAGCGGAGGAACAUGUGGUUUAAUUCGAUGAUACGCGAGGAACCUUACCCGGGUUUGAACGCAUUCGGACCGAGGUGGAAACACCUUUUCUAGCAAUAGCCGUUUGCGAGGUGCUGCAUGGUUGUCGUCAGCUCGUGCCGUGAGGUGUCGGCUUAAGUGCCAUAACGAGCGCAACCCUUGCCACUAGUUACUAACAGGUAAAGAUGAGGACUCUGGUGGGACUGCCAGCGUAAGCUGCGAGGAAGGCGGGGAUGACGUCAAAUCAGCACGGCCCUUACAUCCGGGGCGACACACGUGUUACAAUGGCGUGGACAAAGGGAAGCCACCUGGCGACAGGGAGCGAAUCCCCAAACCACGUCUCAGUUCGGAUCGGAGUCUGCAACCCGACUCCGUGAAGCUGGAUUCGCUAGUAAUCGCGCAUCAGCCAUGGCGCGGUGAAUAAAAUCCCGGGCCUUGCACA